rnacentral:lncRNA from 1 species
ACACCUUAACCUUGAAAUUUUCAUAAAAAUAUAUGAUUUUUUUAAACGGGGCAAAACAUUUGCCAUUUUCAUUGAAUAAGGAGAAGAGUAUGUUUUAGUACAUCACAGCCCCGCGAAAGCGGAAAAGAGGCAAAGGCCUACUCUCACGGCAUUGAAUUACAUAAAUGACUGGCGCCCGCCGGAGCCCAGAUAGACGCCUCCUCUUUAAUAGUUCGCACGAUCACCGCCACCGGUGCCGCCUUGGUUCUGAAUACGCGUGCAUUUCGCUCCUUCCAAAUCUCCCAGCUUGCAAAGUGAAGAAAGGAGGCCAAGGCUUUCCUCGGCUGCGCAUUGCUGGCGAGGUCCUGGACAUAUGAUUAUUUGUUCUGUGCGCAAAAUUCACAAUUGAGUUUCUACGUAACAAUUUUGUGAAAUAAGCACAAUUUCACGGAAGUCUACAAAAAAAAAGUCUACCUGUUCUCUAGGCUUUUCCGUAAUUCUUAGGAGCUUAAGAAUGUGAUUUUGCUAAGUUUAAAAAAAUAGUUUCUUGUGUACCAGGUUCCUAUUACCCAGGGCUGGUUGAAUCUAUCCAUCAAGCCAUGAUACUAUCAUAUCAAACCAAAAACAGGCGCCAACACACCAAUUGAUUUGCUGACCUUGAAAGGUAAGCAUUUGUGGUUUUUCGCUAACCAGCAAAUCAUUGCCGUAAUCCGCCCGAAGAUACCCCAAAGAUAAUUCGUUAGGUGUAAAACAUGGAUCCAAGGCUUGCUAUGCGUGUACGGCAACCAACGCACAGUGUAGAAUUGUGAUUUUUGCAAAUGACGAACUAUGGGGUUGCUUCUAUGUUGCACUUUCUUGCUCGAGCUACAGUUCAGCAAGAACUUCCAUAGAAGAAGGGUCUAAAUCCAACUGCAAAUAAUUAUAAGCAAACCUGUUUUUUUAGUACCCGAGAAAAAGAAGUUGUUUAUUAGAAUUCUGGAGAACAUUCACCGACUAUAUUCUGGGAGUAAAUUGCAAAAAAACAUCGACACUUCAGGCUAGGGUUGCAAGAACCACAUAUCUACGGAAUUGUGCCAAAAAGCACUAAUUUUUUCAUAGUUUUUUGCAAAAAACACUAGUCACCUAGUUUGUUCGUUUUAAUUAUGAUUAUGACAUAUGGGUCCCGCCGAAAAGGGUGAUGUGGCAUGACAUAACGGAUCGCAAAUAGAUAGAAUAUAAAGGGCUACAGUGUAAAAAGGCCUGAGAGGAUAAGGUCAUUUUUUCAUUUAGAAAAAAGAGGAUAAGGUUCUAGCUCGCUCGUACCUGACCGCUGGCGCCGCUGCUGCUUGAGGGUGUUCGCCGGCGCCGCUGAUCACUCGCAUCGCUCCCCUCGCCGCUGCUGCUCGAGCGUGUCCGCCGGCGCCGCUGCUCGCU